GACAGAGGGGGCAAGCGUUGCUCGGAAUUACCGGGCGUAAAGGGCGCGUAGGCGGCCUGGCAAGUGGAAGGUGAAAUCCCUCGGCUUAACCGAGGAACUGCCCUCCAAACUGCUUGGCUUGAGUCCGGGAGAGGUGAGUGGAAUUCCCAGUGUAGCGGUGAAAUGCGUAGAUAUUGGGAGGAACACCAGUGGCGAAGGCAGCUCGCUGGGACGGUACUGACGCUAAGGCGCGAAAGCGUGGGGAGCGAACAGG
rnacentral:rRNA from 1 species